rnacentral:rRNA from 1 species
AGAUGUGUAUAAGAGACAGUGGUAGGAGAGCGUUCUAAGGGCGUUGAAGCAUGAUCGUAAGGACAUGUGGAGCGCUUAGAAGUGAGAAUGCCGGUGUGAGUAGCGAAAGACGGGUGAGAAUCCCGUCCACCGAUUGACUAAGGUUUCCAGAGGAAGGCUCGUCCGCUCUGGGUUAGUCGGGUCCUAAGCUGAGGCCGACAGGCGUAGGCGAUGGAUAACAGGUUGAUAUUCCUGUACCACCUAUAAUCGUUUUAAUCGAUGGGGGGACGCAGUAGGAUAGGCGAAGCGUGCGAUUGGAUUGCACGUCUAAGCAGUAAGGCUGAGUAUUAGGCAAAUCCGGUACUCAUUAAGGCUGAGCUGUGAUGGGGAGAAGACAUUGUGUCUUCGAGUCGUUGAUUUCACACUGCCGAGAAAAGCCUCUAGAUAGAAAAUAGGUGCCCGUACCGCAAACCGACACAGGUAGUCAAGAUGAGAAUUCUAAGGUGAGCGAGCGAACUCUCGUUAAGGAACUCGGCAAAAUGACCCCGUAACUUCGGGAGAAGGGGUGCUCUUUAGGGUUAACGCCCAGAAGAGCCGCAGUGAAUAGGCCCAAGCGACUGUUUAUCAAAAACACAGGUCUCUGCUAAACCGUAAGGUGAUGUAUAGGGGCUGACGCCUGCCCGGUGCUGGAAGGUUAAGAGGAGUGGUUAGCUUCUGCGAAGCUACGAAUCGAAGCCCCAGUAAACGGCGGCCGUAACUAUAACGGUCCUAAGGUAGCGAAAUUCCUUGUCGGGUAAGUUCCGACCCGCACGAAAGGCGUAACGAUUUGGGCACUGUCUCAACGAGAGACUCGGUGAAAUCAUAGUACCUGUGAAGAUGCAGGUUACCCGCGACAGGACGGAAAGACCCCGUGGAGCUUUACUGUAGCCUGAUAUUGAAAUUCGGCACAGCUUGUACAGGAUAGGUAGGAGCCUUUGAAACGUGAGCGCUAGCUUACGUGGAGGCGCUGGUGGGAUACUACCCUAGCUGUGUUGGCUUUCUAACCCGCACCACUUAUCGUGGUGGGAGACAGUGUCAGGCGGGCAGUUUGACUGGGGCGGUCGCCUCCUAAAAGGUAACGGAGGCGCUCAAAGGUUCCCUCAGAAUGGUUGGAAAUCAUUCAUAGAGUGUAAAGGCAUAAGGGAGCUUGACUGCGAGACCUACAAGUCGAGCAGGGUCGAAAGACGGACUUAGUGAUCCGGUGGUUCCGCAUGGAAGGGCCAUCGCUCAACGGAUAAAAGCUACCCCGGGGAUAACAGGCUUAUCUCCCCCAAGAGUUCACAUCGACGGGGAGGUUUGGCACCUCGAUGUCGGCUCAUCGCAUCCUGGGGCUGUAGUCGGUCCCAAGGGUUGGGCUGUUCGCCCAUUAAAGCGGUACGCGAGCUGGGUUCAGAACGUCGUGAGACAGUUCGGUCCCUAUCCGUCGUGGGCGUAGGAAAUUUGAGAGGAGCUGUCCUUAGUACGAGAGGACCGGGAUGGACAUACCUCUGGUGUACCAGUUGUCGUGCCAACGGCAUAGCUGGGUAGCUAUGUGUGGACGGGAUAAGUGCUGAAAGCAUCUAAGCAUGAAGCCCCCCUCAAGAUGAGAUUUCCCAACUUCGGUUAUAAGAUCCCUCAAAGAU